UACGUAGGUGGCAAGCGUUGUCCGGAUUUAUUGGGCGUAAAGCGCGCGCAGGCGGUCCUUUAAGUCUGAUGUGAAAGCCCACGGCUCAACCGUGGAGGGUCAUUGGAAACUGGGAGACUUGAGUGCAGAAGAGAAGAGUGGAAUUCCACGUGUAGCGGUGAAAUGCGUAGAGAUGUGGAGGAACACCAGUGGCGAAGGCGACUCUUUGGUCUGUAACUGACGCUGAGGCGCGAAAGCGUGGGGAGCAAACAGG
rnacentral:rRNA from 1 species